GACGAACGCUGGCGGCGUGCUUAACACAUGCAAGUCGAGCGGUAAGGCCCUUUUGGGGGGUACACGAGCGGCGAACGGGUGAGUAACACGUGGGUGACCUGCCCUCAGCUCUGGGAUAAGCCUGGGAAACUGGGUCUAAUACUGGAUAUGACCUUUCCUCGCAUGGGGUUGGGUGGAAAGUUUUUCGGCUGGGGAUGGGCCCGCGGCCUAUCAGCUUGUUGGUGGGGUGAUGGCCUACCAAGGCGACGACGGGUAGCCGGCCUGAGAGGGCGACCGGCCACACUGGGACUGAGACACGGCCCAGACUCCUACGGGAGGCAGCAGUGGGGAAUAUUGCGCAAUGGGCGGAAGCCUGACGCAGCGACGCCGCGUGGGGGAUGA
rnacentral:rRNA from 1 species